CCGUCUUUUGCAUUAAUAACUUCCUUACAUUUGCCUAAUAAAUCCAGCCAUAGUUUUAUAUUCAUAACUACAUCUUUUUACACUUUUAACUUAUUUUUCAUGCAAAUGACAGAUAUAAAAAAUGGUUGCAACUUACAAGUUUAUCCCACAAAUUAUAUCAGAGAUAAACUAGUCUGCAAAGCUUAUCGUUGCAGGAAAGCAGGCACCAAAAACUGCACGUAACUCUACAACUUGAUAUCAAAAUCUUAUCUUCAUGGACUUGCAGGUUACUACAUACUAAUAAUUACAAGAAUCUUGUAGCUUUCACUAUAAUUAUAUUUUCUAUUCACAUAUUUAUCUCUUUUUAACAUUGAACAGGGUAACAAAGUUACAGCUACAAUGUAUGAUGCUAAUAUUACAGCCCUUAGUGAUCAGCUGACACUCGGAAAGACGUACAUAAUCUCAAAUGCAAUGGUUAAAAAUAACAUAAGUGAAUUUAAAAGUACAUCUGAAGAGAAGAUUUGGACUAUAACAGGAAGAACAAAGGUUGAAGAGCUUAAUGAGAAUAACUUGAACUUCUUGUUUUCGAAGUACGAGCUCACUCCGUUUCAUGCACUCGAACAUCAUAUGGACAAAAACACGAACAUAAGUAAGAUUUCUACCAUACUAACUUUACAACAAGUACUUCCAUGUAAUGUGCUAUAGAUAUUUUGUUCGUGCUAACAUUUAAUACAUACAAAACACUACAGAUGAAAGUUUCCUGUUCUUCUUGCAGAUAUUAUUGGUGUUGCUAUAGAGGUUAGCCAAAAAUGGAUCAUCCAAACUCAUUUUGGUACCCAAGCCAAUCUUUAAGAUAUCAUAUUGAUAGAUAAAAACUACCAGACAAUAAUGUUAACUCUUUGGGACACUUUUGUUGAACGAGAGUGCACUGCCAUUGUUCAAAACCUACCAACAAAACUUGUGAUAUGGGCCAUAAAUCUUAAAGCAUCUUCUUUCAAUGGUAAUCCAAUCUCAAGAUAUUAUUUUAUUUAGAAUAAUAUUAACCAAAAAAAAAAAAAUACAGAGACAUAUUAAUUAUUGUUACUUUUCUUUCUUCCACAGGCAUUACACUCUCGACUAAAGCCAAUAGCAAUAUCUUUAUUAAUGCUGAAUUGUUAGCUGUGACAGACUACAAAGAGUGGUAUUCAUACAUACCUACAACACUUUUUAACUUCCCCCCUUUCUGUGAAAAAAAUGAAAUGCUGAAUUUUGUGUUACAUGUAUAAUUGUAUAAUUCUUUUCCUUAGGGUGCUAACAAACAAAGAAAAGCUUGA
rnacentral:lncRNA from 1 species